rnacentral:rRNA from 1 species
UACGGAGGGUGCAAACGUUGCUCGGAAUCAUUGGGCGUAAAGCGCACGUAGGCGGCCUGUUAAGUCGGGUGUGAAAGCCCUGGCUCAACCCAGGAAGUGCAUUCGAAACUGGCAGGCUUGAAUAUGGAAGAGGGUCGCGGAAUUCCCGGUGUAGAGGUGAAAUUCGUAGAUAUCGGGAGGAACACCAGUGGCGAAGGCGGCGACCUGGGCCAAUAUUGACGCUGAGGUGCGAAAGCCAGGGGAGCGAACGGG